UACGUAGGGGGCGAGCGUUGUCCGGAAUUAUUGGGCGUAAAGAGCGUGUAGGCGGUUCGGUAAGUCUGCCGUGAAAACCUGGGGCUCAACCCCGGGCGUGCGGUGGAUACUGCCGGGCUAGAGGGUGGUAGAGGCGAGUGGAAAUCCCGGUGUAGCGGUGAAAUGCGCAGAUAUCGGGAGGAACACCAGUAGCGAAGGCGGCUCGCUGGGCCAUUCCUGACGCUGAGACGCGAAAGCUAGGGGAGCGAACAGG
rnacentral:rRNA from 1 species